AAUGUCGGGUGAUGUUCCGCAGUUCAGUAUUCUAGUUUCACCACCAUGAGAAUACUUCACAUGCACUACCAUCUGAGACUAA